rnacentral:rRNA from 1 species
ACGAACGCUGGCGGCGUGCCUAAUCCAUGCCAGUAGAACGCACAGUUUAUACCGUAGCUUGCUACACCAUAGACUGUGAGUUGCGAACGGGUGAGUAACGCGUAGGUAACCUGCCUGGUAGCGGGGGAUAACUAUUGGAAACGAUAGCUAAUACCGCAUAAUAUUGAUUAUUGCAUGAUAAUUGAUUGAAAGAUGCUAUUGCAUCACUACCAGAUGGACCUGCGUUGUAUUAGCUAGUAGGUGAGGUAACGGCUCACCUAGGCGACGAUACAUAGCCGACCUGAGAGGGUGAUCGGCCACACUGGGACUGAGACACGGCCCAGACUCCUACGGGAGGCAGCAGUAGGGAAUCUUCGGCAAUGGACGAAAGUCUGACCGAGCAACGCCGCGUGAGUGAAGAAGGUUUUCGGAUCGUAAAGCUCUGUUGUAAGAGAAGAACGGGUGUGAGAGUGGAAAGUUCACACUGUGACGGUAUCUUACCAGAAAGGGACGGCUAACUACGUG